AUUCUCUACUCCUCAGGAACAACCGGGAGAGUAAAAGGUGUAUCUUUGACACACCGGAACCUGAUCGUUUUAAUCGCUGGGUUUUAUUAUAACAGUCGGGCAGCAGACCCGAAUGAACCUGAACCUCACCCAGUAUCGCUCUUUACGCUGCCAAUGUUUCACGUUUUUGGAUUCUUUAUGUUAAUAAGAGCUGCUGCGAAGGGGGAGAUGGUGGUCUUGAUGGAAAGGUUUGAUUUUGAAGGAAUGUUGAGAGCCGUGGAGAAGUACAAGGUCAGUUACAUGCCGGUUUCACCGCCGCUGAUUGUGGCGUUUGUGAAAUC
rnacentral:misc_RNA from 1 species